rnacentral:rRNA from 1 species
UGGGGAAUAUUGGACAAUGGGCCCAAGCCUGAUCCAGCCAUGCCGCGUGUGUGAAGAAGGCCUUUUGGUUGUAAAGCACUUUAAGCGAGGAGGAGGCUACUUGGAUUAAUACUCUAGGAUAGUGGACGUUACUCGCAGAAUAAGCACCGGCUAACUCUGUGCCAGCAGCCGCGGUAAUACAGAGGGUGCGAGCGUUAAUCGGAUUUACUGGGCGUAAAGCGUGCGUAGGCGGCUUCUUAAGUCGGAUGUGAAAUCCCUGAGCUUAACUUAGGAAUUGCAUUCGAAACUGGGAAGCUAGAGUAUGGGAGAGGAUGGUAGAAUUCCAGGUGUAGCGGUGAAAUGCGUAGAGAUCUGGAGGAAUACCGAUGGCGAAGGCAGCCAUCUGGCCUAAUACUGACGCUGAGGUACGAAAGCAUGGGGAGCAAACAGG